rnacentral:rRNA from 1 species
AGCAGCCGCGGUAAUUCCAGCUUCAAUAGCGUAUAUUAAAGUUGUUGCAGUUAAAAAGCUCGUAGUUGAAUUUCGGGAUCAAUAGGUUGGUCAUGCCCUCGGUAUGUACUGAUUUCAUUGGUUCUCACCUUCUAAGGAAUCAUAAUGUCAUUCGUUUGAUGUUGUGGGGAAUUAGGACUGUUACCUUGAAAAAAUUAGAGUGUUUAAAGCAGGCUAACGCUUGAAUACAUUAGCAUGGAAUAAUGAAAUAGGACAUCCGAUUCUAUUUUGUUGGUUUCUAGGAUCGAUGUAAUGAUUAAUAGGGAUAGUUGGGGGCAUUAGUAUUCAAUUGUCAGAGGUGAAAUUCUUGGAUUUAUUGAAGACUAACUACUGCGAAAGCAUUUGUCAAGGAUGUUUUCAUUAAUCAAGAACAAAAGUUAGGAGAUCGAAGACGAUCAGAUACUGUCGUAGUCUUAACCAUAAACUAUGCCGACUAGGGAUCGGAUGAUGCUUAUUUUUUAAUGACUCAUUCGGCACCUUACG